rnacentral:rRNA from 1 species
UAGGUAAUCUUCCGCAAUGCGCGAAAGACUGACGGAGCAACGCCGCGUGAGUGAUGAAGGUCUUCGGAUCGUAAAACUCUGUUAUUAGGGAAGAACAAAUGUGUAAGUAACUAUGCAAGUCUUGACGGUACCUAAUCAGAAAGCCACGGCUAACUACGUGCCAGCAGCCGCGGUAAUACGUAGGUGGCAAGCGUUAUCCGGAAUUAGUGGGCGUAAAGCGCGCGUAGGCGGUUUUUUAAGUCGGAUGUGAAAGCCCUCUGCUCAACCGUGGAGGGUCAUGGGAAACUGGAAAACUUGAGUGGAGAAGAGGAAAGUGCAAUUCCAUGUGGAGCGUUGAAAUGCGCAGAGAUAUGGAGGAACACCGGUGGCGAGGGUGACUUUCGGGUCUGUAACUGACGCUGAUGUGCGAAAGCGUGGGGAUCAAACAGG